AUUGAACGCUGGCGGCAUGCCUUACACAUGCAAGUCGAACGGUAACGCGGGGGCAACCCUGGCGACGAGUGGCGAACGGGUGAGUAAUACAUCGGAACGUACCCAGUAGUGGGGGAUAGCUCGGCGAAAGCCGGAUUAAUACCGCAUACGACCUAUGGGUGAAAGCGGGGGAUCGCAAGACCUCGCGCUAUUGGAGCGGCCGAUGUCGGAUUAGCUAGUUGGUGAGGUAAAGGCUCACCAAGGCUACGAUCCGUAGCUGGUCUGAGAGGACGACCAGCCACACUGGGACUGAGACACGGCCCAGACUCCUACGGGAGGCAGCAGUGGGGAAUUUUGGACAAUGGGCGAAAGCCUGAUCCAGCCAUGCCGCGUGUGUGAAGAAGGCCUCGG
rnacentral:rRNA from 1 species